UCAAAUAUUUACUCUGCUUUCAAAAUCCAUGAAAUGCACACUGUUGGAAUGUUAGGACAUGAAAGCAUUGCAUACAGAUAGAAAUCAUUGUUAUAAAAAUUAUUAAAUGUAAAAAUCUUACCUUGCACAAUUAAAUGUAGUGAUUCACCAAGAAAAACCUUGUCCCAUAUUUUCCAAAAGAAGGAAUGAAGAGAGAUAAAACAUAAUUUUAGCAGUUUUGAUACCAUCCAUAUUGCAUAUCUUGUAAACAAAUUCACUUUAAUAGAACCUAAAUGACUUACAUUGAAGUGACUGAAAGCAAAUCGUCAAACUAUGUUGAAAGCAUGUCAAAGGAAAAUGAAGGACACGACAUGCUUUGAAGAAUUCAACAACAAAAAUUAACUAAUUGAUUUCUCCGGUAAAUGUUUUAAAUCUUAUUUUAUAGUUAAGACUCAAACUCUAGACAAGUGUAAUAUUCAGCAAGACUGAGAUCCUAAGGUCAUAUAAAGUCCACAAGAAAACAGAGCAAACGACUACAACCAGAACUUCACUAUAGAUGCCGCUACAGCCAUUAGUUGAUCGCUAUUGGGCCGCUACAGUUGCUAUUAAAAUACACAAUGGGGUUUUGUGUGGUGUCUAAGAGCCAUUACACAACCCAACUAUUGACUACAUAGCAUUUAAGAAUUACGGCACUAGGAUAAUCAUUUUAAAUAAAUGCUUACUCAAUAAGCGCGUUAAAACUUGUUCUAUAAGAAAUCUAAAUGUUGCCACAAUUGAAGAGAAGUAGAUAAACUCCACGUCAAUUGUUUCUACAACAAAGAGGAAACACGAAAAACUCCACAUAUUUUUAUAAGCUAUUAUAUGACAACAUCUAUAACCUCUUCCAAACAUUUACAUACGUACAUAUGUCAUGAGAUAAAGAAAAAAAACCUAUGCUAUACCAAAUUACCAAUUAGAUCAAGCAAUUACACUAGUAAUAACAUUUAAGUAGUGAAUGAUCAUCAUUUUAUAAACACAAUUUAAAUCAAAAGGUAUACUAUUAGGCAAGACCAAUAACACCAUUUUUCUCAAGAAUUUAAAUUAUAUCAAUCAUUAAUAAUUCAAAGGAAUAAGUAAGAAUACUCACAUAUUUCUUACGUCCAUAACCCUCAUCAUCAUCAUCACCACGCCUCUCCCGACGCUCAUAACCAUACUCAACACCUUCCUCACUCACAUUUUCACUCCUUCCAUAGCUAGGUUUCUCUUCAUACUCACUCCUUCCAUAGCUAGGUUUCUCUUCAUACUCACUCCUUCCAUAGCUAGGUUUCACCUCAUACUCACUCCUUCCAUAACUAGGUUUCUCUUCAUACUCACUCCUUCCAUAACUAGGUUUCUCUUCAUACUCACUCCUUCCAUAACUAGGUCUCUCUUCCUCCCCAUAAUCACUCUUCUUCCUCCCACCAUACCCCGAUCCAUACUCCGAUUCCUCACUCUUCUUCCUCCCAUACCCUUCAUUCUCUUCCUCAUUCCUCCUUCCAUAUCCACCUCCAUAUUCCGAACUUUCAUUCUUCCUCCCACCACCAUACCCCGAUCCAUACUCAGUUUCCUCCUUCCUGCCACCACCAUAUCCCGAUCCAUAUUCCGAUUCCUCAUUCCUCCCACCACCAUACCCCGAUCCAUAUCCAGAUUCCUCCUUCCUCCUUCCAUAUCCAGACUCCUCAUUCCCUCCACCAUAACCAGACCCAUAUUCAGAUUCUUGCUUCCUUCCACCAUAACCAGACCCAUAUUCAGUUUCCUGGGAGCCACCACCAUACCCAGAUUCAAAAUCAGAAUCUUUCCUCCUACCACCAGCAUAGCCAGAUCCUCCAGGAUUGAAAUUAGAAGGGGCAGGUCUAGGUUUAGGUCUAGAAUAGCUACUAUAUUCAGUAGCGAGAGCUUCAUCACCAUAAGCAGAAGGUUCAGAGUGAGAGGAAAAUUGAGGACGAUCGUAAUCGAAAUGAUCGUCGGAAGAAGCAGAAGGGUAACAUGUUUCAUCGGAGGGUGGAAUAGGACGACCGUAAGUUAGGUGAAUGUCGUAACCACCACCGUAUGGUGUUGGAUCGUAUUCGUCGAAAUCAUCGACGCUUUCGUCGUCGUUGUUUCUACCACCUCUUGAAUAGUAAGACAUUUUUGUUUUUGGGAUUCAACGCGAUUCAGAGAAAUGAUGAUGAUUUAGAUCCAAAUUGUUGAUUUAUUGUUGUCUCAAAAGGAGAACAAAAAACAGUGGUUGAUAUUUUUUGGGUUAAACGACGACAUGUGGCCACGUCGUUUGGGUUGAAUUUUUUUUUGUGUGGGUCCCAACCUGCUUUUGUUUGGACAAAAUUGUAGUCUUUUUUGUUUUUUUGUUGACAGAACAUCAAUUUUAAUUCCCAAACAAAUUUUGACACGAGUGAUAAAUUAAUCUUUCUACAAAACCCACUAAAAUUUAACGGGUUGUUAAUUGCUAAAAGUGCUGAUGUAUUGAGUCAACUCAAUCUAUUUAUAAAAAAAUUUAAAUUAGUCUUUCACUGAUUUGGAGCAAAUAAAUUAUAGGUUUUUCUCUUAUUUCAUUUCACAAACCCUAAACUAUUCCUAUGCCAUCUUAUGAACUUGUUUCUAAUUUCAAAUAUUUAACUUAAUUCAUUUAAAGUAAAAAGUUAAUAAUAAAUUAAGAAUUGCUAUUAUGCAUAUACAUAUAAUAGUAACUAUCAAUUUAAUUAUCAAUAAUUGAUAUUAUUCAAUUUAUUCUAUAAAAUAAAUUAUUCUUUUAAAACAAAUCAAAUCUCAUAUAUAUAUAUAUAUAUAUAUAUAUAUAUAUAAUCUUUAUCUUUCUUUAUGAUAUAUACAAUUUAAUUUUAAUCAAAUUCAACAAUAAAUAUUAUCAAUAUAAUCGGAUUAGACUAAAAUAAAUACUUCAGCUAAAUAUAAGUGUAUAUAAUAAUUGAAAAUUUAAUAUAUCAGAUUAAAAUUUAAGAUAUGAGAUAUAGAAUUUUCAAUUCCCUUUUUAUUAUAUUUCAUUCAAAAAUAAUAUCUUGUUGAAAAGUUUGCUAAAUUAUGGGUGCAAAAACUUUGCUAAUUUUCUAAAUUGAACUAUGAUAAUUAUGUGUUUGAAAAGUAGUGAAUGUUCAUCUAGUCUUUUAUUUAUUUAUAUAUUGGACUCUUGUUUUCGAUAGUAUAGAAUAUAUUACCAAAUUCUAAUUUUACGGAUAAACACUUAAAAAAUUUGCCGAAUUUUGUUUAUGAAAAAUGUGCACAACUUCUUUCUCUAUUAGACUAACAUAAGUAUGUGUUAUUGAAAAGUUUGCUAGUUCUAGAUGUGUUGCUUCUAAUCAUGAGUUCAGCAUGUCAGAUUUUCAUCAUGAUUUCUGGAAGGUAGUUAUGCAUGACGAUGAAAACUUAAACACGAUUGCAUUUUUUUCUUUUUUUAUAUAUCACCUGGCAAAAUCCACACAUAUUAAAUAUAUAUAUAAAAAAUAUUUUAAAUUCAAAUUCGCAAUUAUCUAAAUUCUAUUUAUAAAACAAUUUUUUUAAAUAAAAUAAUAUAAUUAUCAUCGUAAACUCACACAUACAACUACGAUGUUAUAAAUUUGAACACGAAACAUCGUAGGUGUAAAUUCGAACACGAAACAUGAAACAUGAUUAAUUUUCCACAACUCUACAUGUAAUUUUGUAAUAAAAAUGUGGUUUUGAUAUUAAAUUUAGAGUUUUCUUGAAAAUUAAUUUCACAACCUUAAUUUUGCUUCAAAUAUACAUUUAGCUAAAAAUAUAUCAAAUCAUUAUUUUUUAAUUAAAAAAUAUUAUUGUUAUUUUUUAAUUAAAAAAUAUAAAAAAAAAUAAACUAAAAUUAUUAAUUUUUAAAAUAAAAAAAUUAAUUAUAAUAAAGUCUAUAAAAAUAUACUAAAUGAAUGAUAAUUAAACUCUUUUGUUAAUGGGUGUGAAAUGGUUAAAUAUGAGAUUUAUAAACAUAAUAUUGUUUUAAAAAACCAACCAAAAGCUAACACUAACAUCAUCAUAGAAACUCUGGUAGAUUCUGUCUCUGCAUGUCUUUUUCUUUCUCUGCGUUUAAUGUCCGCUACAUGAACCACAUUGAUACUACACAAACCACACAAAACAAAACCAAAUAGUUACAAAUAAUGGCACCUUUUAUAUUGACAGUGUCACAAGAUGGAACAGGAAACUACAGAACAGUACAGGAAGCCAUUGAUGCAGUUCCAUUUGGAAACACUCGCCGGACGGUGAUAAAGGUGUCGCCGGGAAUAUACCGGCAACCACUUUACGUGGCAAAGACUAAAAACUUCAUCACUUUUGUUGGUUUGUGUCCUGAGGAUACUGUUCUCACGUGGAAUAACACUGCCAACAAAAUUGAUCACCACCAAGUAGGUGCAUUUUCUUUAUGUUUUCCUUCUUUUGAGUAAUGGGUAUGUGUCAAAAUUCAAACUUUUUGUUGUUUCUUUUUAUAGUAGUUGGAUUCAGUUUUUUAGGAUUAGGAUUUCAAUGUGAUUUUUUAUUUUUGCAAUAAAACAUAUCUGUACUAAAAUUUAAACGGUAUGAUUUUAAUCAAACGAUGUGGCCUAUAUGUUGUGACUGCACACAAUCCAAAUUGAUUUUUGUUGUUGUUAUGAUUAGUGAGUUUCUUUACUUGCAGGGUUCUAAGGUGAUAGGGAAUGGAACCUUUGCAUGUGGUAGUACCAUUGUGGAAGGGGAGGACUUCAUUGCUGAGAAUAUUACGUUUGAGAAUUCUUCUCCUGAGGUAUAUGAUAUAUGAUAGUGUUUUGGAAUUAUGUGUUGGAUUAUGGAUCUAUGACUGUAAUUGUUGAUCAAGGAUUAACUAUUUGGAAGCUUUCACAUUUUAAUACCAUUUCUAUUCAUGAAAGGAUAAACAAUUUGGACAAUUCCCGUUGUCAUUGGAAGCUUUUUCCUUUUUGGGGGGUAUGCCAAUUUUCAAGGACAUAGAUCAAUUGGCAAUUGUAAUUUAAUCUUUUAAUAUUCAUACAUUAAGUUUUAAAUUUAAUUCAUGGUUUGUAAAAGUUGCUAUCUGAAUCUACAUAUUAAUUAGUAUCUUCAUCAACUUUAUGUGUUUUUUUUUACAUAUAGACACAAACGAAAUUGUUAUAUAGUUUAUAUAUCAAUCAUUAUUUUCUUAUACUUGAGAUGUUAUCUCAGUGUUAAGAGCUGGCCAUUAGCGUCUUUGAUUAAUAAAAAAGUUUCCCCUUACCCAAUUUUUAUUUAAAAUUGUUCCUUUUUUUUUCAUGGCAGGGUUCAGGACAAGCAGUGGCAGUUAGAGUAUCAGCAGAUCGAUGUGCAUUCUAUAAUUGCAGGUUCCUUGGAUGGCAGGUAACUUUAUUAGUUUAUAGAUUAGAUAGGCUUCAUAAAAUAUUUUAUAUGGUGAUGUAUGCAUGUUGGAUUUCUAAGAAUUGUUAGAACAACAAAUCCGGUUUCUAAGAAAAAUAGAUAAAUAAACACACAUAAGAAUACAAACGCUUAAUCACAGAGUUCAACUCUGCUUGUUCUGUUACACUCAAGUCACUGGCCACUUAUCACUGAGUGUGAGUCAUACUCAACUAGAGAAUAAGCUUCUUGUUGAGUAUGACUCAUAUUCACUAAUAAGUGGACAACCACUUGAGUGUAGCGAAGGAGAGCAAGUAGAGCUAAAAGUACAACUAGUGUAGUGGAAUGGUUGAGGGUGUGGGGAGUGAAGCCACUUUGGAGUACGCUUCAAGGGAAAACUUGUGAUAUGGACGAUACUUGUAGUAUUAAAUAUUGCACAAUUGAAAAACUAUAGUAGUCACUCUAUUGUAUACAGAAACAAUUAACUAAACUUCGUAAUCAAUCUCUGGUGCUCUUGUGUGUGUUUAUUUAUCUGUUUUCUUUAGAACUAGAUUUACUAUUCUAACACUUCUUCAUUGUUUAUGAUGCAGGACACACUGUAUCUACAUUCUGGCAAACAAUAUUUGAGAGAUUGUUAUAUUGAAGGAAGUGUGGACUUCAUUUUUGGUAAUAGCACUGCACUCUUGGAGCAUUGUCAUAUUCACUGCAAGUCACCAGGGUUCAUAACUGCACAGAGCAGAAAAUCUCAACAUGAAAAAACUGGUUAUGUAUUCCUAAGGUAUGUCGCCAUGUCUAGUUUCAUCUUGUUAGUGUUGUCAAAUGACAGCUAUACUAUAGCAUACUGGAAUUUGAACAAAUAGGCUAUUCAGUUACAUGCUAUUUAGUACCGGAAUUUGAUAUGCAUUUUCUGGCUGAAGCAGUUCUUAACCAAAUUUUACUUACCUCUUGGUCGGGGAAUUACUAGUGUCUUUUUUCCUUAGAAUCAGACGAUUAAGAUAAAAAAAAAUAAAAAAUUAAUGUUUCAAUGGUUUGUGGUGUCCUUGCAGGUGUGUUAUCACAGGCAAUGGGGGAACUUCAUAUGCAUAUCUUGGAAGGCCAUGGGGACCUUAUGGAAGAGUGGUCUUUGCAUUUACUUAUAUGGAUCAAUGUAUAAAGCCUGCUGGUUGGAAUAAUUGGGGGAAAGUUGAGAAUGAAAGAACUGCUUGCUUCUAUGAAUAUAGGUACAAACAUCAUUUCCUUUGUAGUACCAAUAUGUUUGAUCGAAGGCAUGUCUUGGGGUCUCACACUGACACAUUGAUUACAAUUAAUUCAUUUUCUCAAAUUAUUAUCGGUAUGACGUGUUAACGUGCGUGAUUCAUAGAUCAUUUCUGCCUUCUUACAUAAGUAUUGCAUAUAUAUAUAUAUAUAUAUGACUAUUUUUUUCCUUUUAUAAAUCAAUGGAUCUGAUUACAAACAGUACAAAUGAGGGUUUAAGUUCUGAUAAUGUACUAUAACAUAAGCAAAGAAAUUUACUUUGUUACCAAAAUAUACACAAAUAAUCACCCCAAAAAUUAUUAUUGGUCUUAAUCAUCCUAUUCUUAAAGGAUGGGUUCUAGUAAUCUGAAAUUUGGCAGGAAGGUAAGUAAAGUCUUACUAAGGAUUAUUCCAACUAGGAUUAAAACUUUCGAUUGUUUCGAAAGUUUUUAACUGAUAUUCGUUGUCUACUUGAGUUAAAUAACUUGACAAGCAAGUUAAACUUACGAUUGUAGUUAUGAAGCAAAAUAGGCCACACAUACUAACAAAAAAUUCAAAUCUCUCUCAAAGUUUGCUUUUUUACUGCAUUUCAGGUGUUUUGGAGCAGGUUUUUGUCCAUCCAAAAGGGUGAAAUGGGCGAGAGUGUUAAAGGAUAAAGAAGCUGAACAGUUUCUCAUGCAUAGCUUCAUUGAUCCUGAACCACAAAGACCUUGGCUUGAUCAAAGAUUGGCCUUAAGAAUUCCAUAUUCUGCUUAGAAAAAAGGGAUGCACUUGAAACAUCAAUGUGAUAAAGUAUAAAACUAAAAUAAAACACAAAUCUUAAAAAGAUUUUAUGUUUUCAAAGCAAGCAUCAGUGAAUAUAAUAAAAUGUUAUUAUUGUAAUAUUUUUUAUUUUCAUAUGUAUCUGUAUAAAUGAAGUGUGAAUUGCAGCAUUGGUACCUUGGUUAUUUUUUUCUAUCUAAUUUUGUCACAUUAAUGAAAUUAUUUAUGUGUGACUUCUAAUUUGAUUCCCGACAAAGGAUGACUACUAUUUGUACAAUUUUCGCAUAGUGUAACGUCAAUCAAAAAAGGUUUUAGAUAGUGUGCAUUUUUAAAAGUACAUAACUAUAUACACAAAUACUUUAAAUUAAAGGUAUGUCUCACAAUGACACAAUAUUGAUAUAUGUGAUUCUAUUCAAUCACUUUAACUUUUUCAAAUAUUGAUACAUGUGAUUCUAUUCAAUCACUUUAACUUUUUCAAAUUAUUAUUGAUGUAUACGUCUAUGUGUCGGGUUUUGUCUAUGUCAUUGUAGCCUUAUAGCAAUUUAAAUACAAUUUGUAGAGCUAAUAGAUAACACAACAUUUGACAAUGUGCUUUUCAUCUGUUCCACUUGUUUUAACCAAAAUUAAUCAGAAAGAGUCAAACAUAAAUUCAGAAUUGUUUCAUCAAAACAGUUUAGGUGCUGCAGAUUUCAAUUUCUGGAAACACUUGUUCUAAAUUGCAUAUCUUUAUACACAAUUUAAUUAACUUUGGAGAGUAAGUCAAAAGUGAUUCAGAAGAGUUAAAAUUAGUUUUUAUAUGUUUUAGAGUUUUCGAUUACAGUUGAUUUUACCUUUGAAAUUAAUUUAAAGUUUGUUUUUUAAAUAAAAAAGUGAUUUUAACUUCAUAUUUUCAAAAAUAAAUUUUACGAGAAUUUAUUUAAAUAAUAGAAAUUAUUUUAUAUUCAUAUGUUAAUUGUUACAAAUUUAAAAAAGUUAUUUUGACAGUCAAUAAUUUAGAUAUUCAUUAUUAUAACUUUAAAUAUAAUAAAAAUCAUAUUUUAUUUUUAAAAAAUAUAUCUGUCAAAAACUAAAGUCAAAAUGCUUGAAUUGAUUCCUUAAUUUUCUUUUGACAUAAGAAUUGAUUCUAUCUGUAUUGGACGAAAAACUAAAGUCAAAAUGCUUGAAAUGAAUUUAUAAAACAUCACCUUGCAAAGCUAUUUUCUAAAUUUGAGUUAGCUCCAAUAUUAAUAUUUAUAUAUGUAUAUCUAAAUCCUAUUAAGUUUUGAUGCAACAAAUUAUAACUCUCUAAUCUAAGCAUAAACAUAAUUUUUCUGUUUGUUUACUUAGUCUAAACUAUUAGAUAUCGUGUAAGUUAGUAUUUGAAUAGCUGGUCUAAUUGAUUAAUGUUCAAGUCUUCAUUCUUUUUCAGUUUAAUUAGUCAAUCUCUCAGUCAGUUUGAUAGUUAUUUGUCAUUCAAACUAAAAAUGUGAGUUUGCUUGUAAUAGCUUAUAUGAUACUUGUCAUAGGUUAUUAUUAGUUAGUUAUUUAUUUUAUUUCAAUUAUGGUUGUUAGUCAUCAUCUCAUAUCUUCUCUCUAUCAUAUAUAAAGAGAUGGAGAUGCUACAUUUUAAAUUAAUUCAUUUCAUUUUUCAAUAUACGAGGAAUUAUUCAAUAAAAUAAUUUCAUCUUGUUUCCUAAUAUGACAUCAAAGUCUUAUUUGAGGAUCUUCAUCAUCUUCAAUCAUGACAAGAUCAAACAAGAAUAAUAAUUCAAGUGUCAAUUUUUUUCAAUUUACAUUCACCCAAGUGAAGGUCCUUCUUGAUCUUGUGCAAAACACCAACAGUCCAUAUUACAUUCAUCCAAGUGAGGAUCCUUCUUCAGUCACUGUUACUCCAAUUCUUAAUGGAAACAAUUAUAAUUCUUGGGCUUUUUCGAUGACCAGAGCAAUGGUGGGAAAGAAUAAAAUGGAGUUUCCUGAUGGAUCUUUGCCUAUGCCAAGUGAUUUUGAGUCAGCUCACAAGCACUAGCUGCGAUGCAACAAUUUGGUUCUUCAAUGGGUCAUUAAUUAGUUUCACCAUCAAUAACUCAGAGUCUUGCCAUUAAAGAUAGUUCCAACAGAGUCUGGAUUGAAUUAAAGGAAAUAUGAAUGUUUUAGAUUUUUUUAUUGCUUUAACUGUUGUAUGGGAAGAAUUGGAUAAUCUUCACCCUAUACCACCAUAUAAUUGUGCUUCCACAACCUAUGCCAAAGAAAAUAGGGUGAUCAUUUUUUUAAUUGGUUUAAAUGAAAGUUUUUAUGUGGUUAAAACUCAAGUCUUGCUCAUGGAGCCGCUGCAAAAUCUCAAUAGAGCCAUUUCUUUAGUUUUUCAACAUAAAAGAUAGAAUGGAGGACCUGAUCAUAACACAUAAUCUCAAACUUUUGUUGAUGCUGCUAAAACAAAGAAAAGUUCUUGGAAAAGAAAUGGAAUUCCCAAUACCUGCACUCGUUGUGGUAAUAAUUUUGAUGUUUUCACUAAAUUUUUCAGAAUUAAACCAAUUAAUAUUAAGUUACCUAAUGGGACUUUUGCUAUUGUUGACUAUGCAAUAACUGUUAUUGCUACAAAAGAUUUAAAAUUAGAUCAAGCUUUGUUUUUACCUAAGUUCUCCUUUAGUCUCAUUUCUAUUUCAAAAUUAUGUAAUCAAUUAAAUUGUUGUGCUAUUGUCAAUACUAAUUGUUGUUCUAUCCAAAACUUGAGGACCAAGAAGAUGAUUGGUACAACUAACUUGUUGAAGGGUUUUACUGCCUCAAGUGGUCAAAGUCAUAUUUGCAAAAUUGUAAAGAUUGUAGUACAAACAACAUUAAUAAUCACAAUGUUAGACAUGUUCUUAAAUCAGCCUUAUGACAUUUUCGUUUAGGUCACAUUUCUAACAAUUGUAUGAAGAUUUUGAAUAAUCAAUUUCCUUAUAUUGCUUAUGGCGAUAAACAUAAUUGUGAUAUUUGUCAUUUUUCCAAGCAAAAGAAGUUUCCUUUUCCCAAUAGGAAUCACAAAGUUUGUGCUCCUUUUGAUUUAAUUAAUGUUGAUAUAUGUGACCCUUUUGCUAUUUAAUAUCAUAAUCAUUUUAAUCUCAAAAUACAUAUAUGCAUAUAUUAUUAAUUAGUCACCAUAAAUAAUAUCUUAAUAUAUAUUAAAUUUAGUCUACUAUAGCAAAAUUUCACUUGUGCAUUGUUCGGGUGCAUGUAUUAGUAAAAUUAGGCAAAAAUAUACUAAUAGUCCUUUAAGUUUAAUUCAAUUACUGCUGAAAUCUUUUAAGUUUAUUUUAUCUCAAUGUAGUCCUUUAGGUUAUAUUUUGUUUAUAUCGUUAGUCAUUUAUCUCAAUUUCGACAACAAUUAAUUCAACUGAAAACUUAUGAUCAUUAAAAACUCCAUCAAACAUUGCAACAAUAUGUCCCUCAUACUAAUUCUUCAUAAAAUAUUCAUCAAAUCUUAUAAAUUGUCUAAAUUUAUUGAUUUUAUCUAUAACAAUUUAAACACACGAAUAACCUUAAAAAUAAGGUAAUAAAAGUCUAUCUACAUAAUCAAUGUAUUUAACUUCCUUUACGUGCAAAGUAGUUUGAACAGACAACUUGUUGCGAUGUUCUGAUUAGAUCUUAACAUUUCAUGACAAUAAUUAAAGAAAAUUUUCAAACUUAAACGGUCACACGUAUAAUUUAAUAUAUCUUACCGACUAAUGGUGUAAAUCGGAUGUAACUUAAAGGAUCGAUCGAGAAACCAUAAACUUAAAUGACCUAAACAAAAAUUGAGCUAAACAUAAAAGACUAGAGAUGCAUUUUUGCCUAAAAACUAAUAUGAUAUAAGUGCUUAUCAAUUUAGGUCAUAGACAAUUUAUAUUCACACACCAAAUGUAAUAUCGUUGAACAUGAUGAGGUGUAUUGAAAAAAAUUCAAAUUCUCUCUUUAUAAAAAGAGAUACCAUUUACUUGACAUGUUAAUUUUGUAAAGAUGAAUUAAACUAAAUAUAAAAACUUAAUAUGUCAUUUACCAUUCAUUUUCACUCACCUUACCAACCAAAUUUGUAAAAAGCAAUUAGGCUUAAUAUAAAAACCUAAUAAUUUGAAAUUAUAGUUUGUAUUUUUGCCAUCAAAAAUAAUUUUUACAGUCAAAUAUUUUAUUGUUGAAUUCUUAAACUAGGUGUUGUUUGCAAAUUAGGCCAAACCAAACACUUACGUUUGUUUUGGGACUUCUUGUUGUCAAGACGCAACCAUAUAUGAAAGACAAGUGUAUCCCAAAGACAUAAUAAGUACACUUUAAUGUGGUCCAAUUUGUAUUUUCCAAGGCAAAUAUCAUCUACCAAACUUGCAAGUAUUAGUUAGAAAUCAACGUGAAGUAACCUAACCACAUAGCCAGCCCAUAAUUAAUUUCAAAAAAAUCGUUAUGAACAAAUUAUUUUGGUGUCUCUUAAACCUUCAUUCCAGGAUUAAAGAAAAAAAAAAGAAUUCAGCAACAAAAAAAAAAUUUUAAAAUUGAGGAAAUUGGAAAUUUGGAAUUAUUAAAAUUGCAAACUUAUCCAACAGAAGUUGCAUAAUAUACACGUAUGUGUUAAGUGACUUGUCUUCCCAUUCAUUCAGAAAUAGUGAGCAGUGAUUAAUAAAUAUAAAGUAUCUUUGAUAAAUUGCAUUACUCUAGUUGAAACUCUAAUUAAAAUAAUCAAUAAUUAAAUUUUUCUUUUCAGUUGAAUUUUAAAUUAUCAUUAACAUUUUUUUCCUAAAAACGGAAGAAUUACAAAAAUACCAUUAAUUUGGAGAAGGGCUUAAAUUAAAUCUCAACCUAAUUUAAUUUAAAAUAAUUUUUUUAAUUAUAAAUUUAAACAUUACAUAAAUGUAACUUGGAGUUUAGUACGUGAGUUAAAAGGACGUUGAAUGAAUUUUAAACAGAAAUUUUAGACAAUCACAAAAACUAAUAUAAUCUAAAUAAUUAUUAGUAUUUGUCUAUAAAAAGAAAAGAAGAAUAGUGCAGCAAUAAUACACCUUGUCCUAUUGAGAAGCAAGAUUUUAUAAAAGCUAAAUAUUGUGAAUUAUAUUAGUAUGGCUAGCAUUCUUAUGGUUCCUUGGCAACCUUUAUUAGUACUAAAAAAGAAGCAUAGUGAUUUCCAUACAAAAAGACCAUCAUACUCAUUGAUUAAGAAUGAAAGGACUUCAUCAUUCAAUUAUAAAAGCACUCUUAAUGUUCCAUUUUAUGAAUUGCCAGGGGUAUAUCAAAGUUUUCAUCCUCAUCUUCAAAUCUAAGACAAUACAUGUUUCUAACAUACAUGUUAAUUUUGUUUUGAUUUGCAGGCUUCUUUUGAUCAAUAUAUGGAUGACAAGGUUAGAGUAGUCAGAGCAGUUUUUCCUGACAAAGGAAAAACUAAACAGCUCAAUGAGGUACUUUUUAGGAAAUUUUGUUAAAGUCAUUAUUUAUUUUUAAUUUCAGUUGCAAAUCUUUAUAUUGCGGUAUGUGACUGCAAUUGCGAAGAAAUGACAAAUUGAAAAAUAAAAGUUUUACAUGAUGAUUUUUUUUUAAAUUAAUAAUAAUUUUGUAAUUAAUAUUUGAAGAACAAUUAUAUUGCAAGUGGAAUUUAGAAGCAUAAUUCUCCUAGUACUCUAAGAAACUCUUGUUAUUUCUCAAAAUGUUUGUUGUAAUUGUUUGUCUCUGUAUGCAGGAAGAAUGGAGAAUUAAUAUGCCUCCAAUUCAAUGCUUAUUCUUGAAUGUUCAGCCAACAGCUGAUGUCAAGUUAAUAUUUAAGUCUAAUGGUGAAGAUUAUCCUCCUAACAUUCCUCAUCACAUUAGCAAAAUUCUUGAGCUUCACUUUGUAAGCACUUUUCAUUAGAGAAUAUUUUAUGAUUUUGUAAUUUGCUUUUGUUAAUUUCUUUAUGGUCAUUGUAGCAUUCAUGUCACUCUUCCCCACUAUGAUUUGACAAAUUUCAAUAUUAUUGUUUAUUGUUAUAUAUUAGUCGUCCCUACAUACAGUACAUAUUAUAUAUUAUGAGUAUUAUUACACAACAUUAUAUUUAUUAUAUCUGAGUUGGAACUUUGAUUGAAUCAAUUUUUUAAAAAAUUAUUUAUUUUUUGGUCAAAUUUUAAAUUAUCGAAGUUUUUUUUUUCUCUUAAAAAUCAAAGGAUUAACACUAAAAAGUGAAGUUAAAGUGUGAAAUGAUUAAGUUUUAUAUCAUUACGAAUGAGAUAUAUAAAAUAAGUGAUUCAUGUACCUAAUACAUUAAAAAUUUAGGUUGAGAUGUGGUGUCAAAGUCUUAUGUGAAUCUGAAGUAUUUAGCCUAUUGUCACUUUCGAGGUAACAUAGUCGUGGUUAGACUCUGUGGAGAAGCGAGAGUAUAUCCUAGUAUGUUAAAUUCUUUUAUCAAAAAAUUCUAAUUUUGUAGUGAGGAGGUGGGUCCCAUUAGUAAUAAUUGAAAUUUUGUUCUCGCGUCUCCAACUUUCCAAAAAAAAAAAAAUAGUAUUUUCCAAACAUUUUUUAAAUUUCUUGAUCUGCAAAUGAUUGUUAGAUAUAAUAUAGAAACAUACAUCUGACUUAACUUUAAAGUUUAUACCUUUUCAUUGGAUAUAUUUAAAUACAAUUAUAUAAAAGUUUAAUUUUUAUUAAACCUUAAAGUAUCUUGAUUAAUUUCAGAUAAGGUGGGAGCUACGAGGCCUUAAUGCAUUUUACAAUGAUCCUUACCAUUUUAGCUUAGAUGUGAGAGGAACUAUAUAUCCAGAAAGAAGGGGAAAACAUAGCUGGCUCAAGAAUCAAAUGGAGAUGAAUAUAAGCUUUAUUGUUUCUCCUACAAUGAUUUUUGUUCCUGAACAUGUUUUACAAGAUGCAUUAGAGUUGGUUAGAAUUCCUUUCAUUUCUUCCUAUUUUAACACAUAUAUAUACAACUAAUUAAAUUUAUUUAAAAUAGUUAAUAAAUUUCAGUUAAUAAUGAAAUGAUUCAGAAUAGCUGAAUUUGGACUCUGACUAAAAUAACUACUGAUCAAAUUUUAUUUAUCUCACAACUAAAAUUUAGAUUACUACGACCGAUUUUUCUUAAAAAUUAGAGGGUUAAAAUAAAAAAAUAAUUUUCUUUAACUAAAUAUUUAUUAGGUCGGUCAAAAGACAAAACCACGAAAGCAAUCGUCUCAAAACUUUUAAAUUAAAUUUUUUUUAACUUAUACAAAAAAAAGCCUCAUAUGAUGUGAUCAUGUCAUGAUCAUGAGUCCAUAAUCUUGUAUAUAUUUUAUUAUUUUUAAAAUUAAAAUUAAUAAAAUUUUAUUUUAAAUUAUAUUGUUUCGAUAAAGAUUAAAUUGAUUGACUUAUUACCGAUUGAAAAAAAAAAAAAAGAAAUGCUAGACAAAAUGAUCCAUUACAAUUUAAGAGAUAUUUCUACAUUAUAAGAUUUCCUAAUAAAAUAUGUCUUUUAAGUCUCGUAAUGUAUUAAGCUUCCCUGAGUGUGGAUGACAUAUAUGUUGAUUAAAUAACAGGUUUUCCAAACAUUAUGGAAAGAAAUGAAGCAUGAAUUGCAUGGUAGAUUAUUGGCAGAUUAUAACAAUUUCAAGAGGUACAACAAAUCCAACAAGAAUUCACUCUAAACAUAAUGUUGACAACUUGGAGGAUAUAUUUUCAGCUAAUUGAAUUAAUGGAAAAUAAUGUCAUACAUUUUUCAACUGCAAAUUAGUCCUUCUGAAAUUAACUGUCACGAAUUCUUUGAAUAGAAAAUAAAAAAUAUGAUUCUGUUAUUUCAUCUCUAUGUAUUUUGUUUACACAGUGCUCUUAGAAAUAAUUAUUAGAUGUAGUUUUUCUAUUUUCAACACCAUAAUUAAACUACUGUUUUAACUCCUUUUUUAAGACAUUUUUUAUUUUUUAAAUCAGUUGUACGAUUGAUAUAGUGACUUUUUUUUUUUUUAAUUAAGUAGAUUAGAAAAAGAAGAGGAGUUUAUCCUUUUACAAUUAAUAUGCAGAAUAUUAUCAAAUAAAACAGAAAAUUAAGUAAAACAAAAUAAAUUCAAAUAAAACAAAAAACUUAGGGAAAACACUACGAAUAUUUUUUAUACCAACAAAACUCAUACAUAAAUACGGAAAAAUGAAAUAUUGCAUAUUAAAAUAUAAACUUUAACAUAUUAAAUGUUUUUGUAAUAUUUACCUUCUUAGCUGCACUUAUGCGAAGUGAAUUUUUAAUAGUUUGAUUUUUAGUUAUAACUUCUUUUAUUGGGAUUUUUAGUUUAACAUAGAACUUACAAAGUUCUGGAGGAUAAGGAAAGGAAACUUUAAAGAAAUAAAAUUAAAUCAAGUGAUUUUAAUUUUAUAUUUUAAAAAUUAUUUUGUAUAAGAAUUUAUUUAAAAAUAAUAUAAGUUAUUUUAGAAUUAUUAUAGAUUGUAAAAUGAUAAAAUUAUUAUUUUUAUCAAAAAAAGUAUAUCUCAAAAAUAAUGUUUUAUAAGAAGCUUCUCAAAAAUAACUUUAUAUUUUAGACAUUUUAAAAAAAAUAAUAAUUAUUCAUAUAAAGUUGUAGCAAUUACAUAAUAUACUUCACAUUUUUUCAUAAUAAACUAUAUAUUUAUAUUAAUUUAUCAUUUGAAUCUUUAUCUUUAAAAUUCUUUUUUUUUUAAAGUUCAUCAAACAAAAAUAUAUAAACAUUAUAAAAAUCAUUAAAUAAAAACUAUAACAUACGAGCAAAAAUAAAGUGCUUUGUGAAUGGUGGUCCUAAUUGUUUUUUGUCUAGUUCAAAUAUCAACAUCUAGCUCUUGAGAUAAUGAAAGAGAUGCAUCCCACACAUGUAGACUAAUUUGGAUAUAUUUGAUUAAUUGGAUUUAUCUGAUUAUUUUGAUAUAAUCUUUAAGACUUAUUAAGAGUGUAAGUAACCGAUAAAAAUGUCAAGAAACAAUCGAAUAAGACGUGUCAAUAAACAUGUAGCGUCAAGGUUUAGUACAACUAAGAUAUUUUUGUUUAGGUGAAUGUGCAUUUUUUUUGGUAUGACAUGACAUUUUAUCAUAAAAUCUUUAAAUGUAUUAAAAUUAUAAAAAUAUCAUCACAAAGUAUUACUUUUAUUAAUAAUUUUAUGAAAUUAAAUUGAUCAAUCAAAAAACAUAUUUAAUAAUUAAAGUAAUUAAUUAACUAAAAACAUAUUUAAAAAGUAAACAUAUUAGCAUAGAAUUUUUAUAAUUUUGAUAUAUGAAAUACAGUGUCUCAUGCAUUUUAACCAUUUUGUUUUAGUUUUAUCUCUAUCUUCAAAAUUCGAAAGGGUGAACAUGCGUGUGAAUUAACAAAUAAUGAUAUAAAAGGAAUAAUGCAAAAUUUCAUAACUUUUAUAUUCCUUCUGUUUUGAACUAUAAAAUAAAAAUUUGUUAAAUAAAGUUAUGUAUUUGAUACAAAUUUAAAUAAAAAUAUAUUUAUUUUAUUUAUUUUUAUUCAUUUUGAGUUAUAUUUUGAGACGGUAGAUUUUACAUGCUAAUCGCAAAUACAAUGAUUAUAGGUGAAUUUAGUCUUUAAAAAAUAAACAAUAGUAGUUAAAAUAAAAAAGCUAAACAAUAAUUAAUUUAUUAGUGUUCUUAACUUUCUUUUUUAUGGAAACAAUCUUUUGUAGAUUUAAAGUGUAGAAUAUAUCGAAGUAAUAUAAAUUUAAAUUUAUUAAAAAUAAAAAUGAUAAAUUUAUGAAUAAACUCACAAUAUUUAAGUUAAUAACGUAAAACGACAAUCUAAAACAAAAAGAUAUCAGGUAUACAAAUAUGACAAGAUUCACAUAUUCAUAAUAUUUUUGCAUUCGAAUUUGUAACGUUGACGAUUUCAAAGUUAUUAAUUGAAAUCUAUAAUGAAUUUCAUUUAUUCUGUCAAUAUGAACCAAAACUAUUUAACAUUGCACAAAAAUCAAAAAGCUUCACAUCAAAACGAAAAAAACAAAAAAAAAAUAUUAUUUCAGACGAAAUCACAAAAAGAAUACUAAAGAAAAAUUAAAAUUGUGUAAAAAUUACUUUAAGAAAAAAAUAAAUUUGUUGAGAUGAUUUUAGAGCACAAAAUGGUCAAAAAUCAUCAAUCUCUAAUAGAAAAAGAAAAAAAGAAUCUAUAAUUUAUUUGAGAGAUACAACCACUAGAAUUUUUGGUAUAAAUGAUUAUAAAUAAAAGAAAAAAAAAUAUUUUCACCAAAUUAUCCUUAUUGAUGUAUUUUUUAUCAUCAUAAAUAUAAUAAAUAUAAAGUUAAAAAUAAUAAUUUAAAAAUAAUAUACAUAGUAUUAAUUAAAAGAACAAUUGAAACAAUAAUUCAUAAAAAAAAGAAAUUUGAGACAAUAAUUCAUCACACAUUAAAUAUGAAAAUGACAUUCAUUUUUAUAAGUAUUGCCGAAUUUCCAAACAUAUUACUAAUAAAAAAUUCCGCAAGUAUGGAGAUGCGGGGGAUCGAACCCCGUGCCUCUCGCAUGCAAAGCGAGCGCUCUACCAUUUGAGCUACAUCCCCUUUGUGACUUUUAAUCUCAAGUGUGCUUAAUAUUGAAAUGAAGUAUUAGUUAAAUGCAUUACAAGCAUAGAGCUGAAUAUUACUACCCUUUUCUUUUAACAUGAUCAUGUACAACUCAAAAGAUUUGGUGUAACAAAAACAUUUCAAAAUAAUAGUCAUGUUAAUUUUAUGUGGGAGGUUAACCCAAACACUUAAAAUCAUAUUUUUUUUUGUAAUUUUUACUUUAUUUUUUGAAACUUUGAUAUCAAUAAACAUCAGAAUAUAUAUAACAAUAAUAUAUACACAAUUCAAUGUUAUUGUUACAGAAAUUGUAUUGUAUUAUUCACAAACAAUGUAUAACAAAAGAAAUUGUAUUGUACAAUUCUAUUUGUACUACAUCUAAGUAUAUAUCAAACACAUCCUUAAUUUCUUCAUAUUAAGGCUAACUUUUACCUCACAACUACAAAGAUUCUCUCAAGAGACAAAAAAUGAAAAGCAAAAAAAAGAGAGAAAGUAAAAGAUGAGAUCAAUUAUGUGGGGGAAAAAACAUUGAUCCGGAUUUAGAUUCUCUACCACAACUCUUCUACAUUUCCAAACAUCUCUAUCUUACGCCCGAAUUGCUACAUUCACGGAAUCCUGCAGUCCUACAGUCAAUGCAUUGAAGACUGUUUGAUUGAAAUCAGACGGCCACAUUCUCUCACCGAUGUGUUCAAUGCCACAGAGGCAGCUCCACAGCAGAGGAUUCAAUUUCGAAAAAUCAACAAUACCCUCUAAAGAAUAUUUGUGUUAAGGAUGCACCUACUUGAUGAAUGAAACUUUUAUCUCUCCAUUUGGAAAGGGUCUUUCACCAAUAGUCAGAGCAAGAACAAGAACCAUUCUUGAAACUAUGAAAACGAUAUCGAUCUCGGACAACAAUUUCUCGUCUGUAUACAUCAGAAGCAAUCUUAAUAGCAGAAUGACAGUCUUGGCAUAUCCUCAAAUUCUUGAAAAUAUAUAAAGGAGAACCAGAAGCUGUGUUCAUUAGUCCAAAACACAGUGCAAGCUUUUCACUAUGAGUGAACAACACUUGUUCUACCUCCUCCAAUGCCUCGCUAUAAUCAUCCCUAUUGGAACAACCAAACAAAACCUGACAACUUGUAUUAGGAACAUAUCCACCAAACCUCAAUCUACAAAUCAUCUCAUCUAACUUCAUGUAAAUCUCUGAAGUUCUAGUGUGUGACUUAUCCCCUGCAAUGAACUGAUGAAGUUGGCCAUCGGCAUAUAUCGAACUCAUUCCCGGCGCUUUUUUGAUGCCCUUUUUCUUAAGAACCUUCCUAAGGGAAUUCGCCUUGUCUACUUUUCCGGACAAAGCAUACAUGUUCGAAAGCACGAUGUGAUAUUCGGUGUUGAAGGGAUCCAUCUCAACUAACUCUCUCAUAAUCUUUUCCCCUAGCUUCAACUUACCAUGUGCAUAACAAGAACCAAGAAGGGACCCUAAAACAACCUCAUUUGGAGGAAUCGGCAUCUUCUUCACAAAAAACUCAGCUUCUUCUAAACGUCCAGCUCGACCGAGAAGAUCAACCAUGCAAGCAUAAUGCUCUAUUUCUGGCUUAAUCCCAUAAACAGACUCAAGAUCAUGAAAGUAUUCCCAACCCUUUUCAACUAAACCUGAAUGGCUACAAGCACUUAACAAAGCCAUAAAAGUCACACCAUCAGGUCUCACUUCUUCCACCAUGGAAGGAAACAUAUCCACCACAGCUUUCCCCAUCCCAUGCAUAGCCAACCCACCAAGCAUGGCAUUCCAAGCCACCACAUUCCUCCUCCACAUGUGCCUAAACACCAUCAAUGAAGCACUUAUCCUACCACAUUUUGCAUACAUAUCAACCAAACUAGUCCCAACCAUAACACCAAAAUCCAACCCCAUUUCUUUAACAGCAUAACCAUGAACCCACCUACCCAAACAAACAUCACCAGAUUGAGAACAAGCUGACAAAACAGAACACAAUGUAACACAAUUCAAAACAAACCCACACCCAAAAACCAUUUCUUUCAAAAGGCAAAAAGCUUCUUUUGUAAAUCCAUUCCCAACAUAACCAACAAUCAUAACAGUCCAAGCAACCUCAUUCCUCUCAGGCAUUUCAUCAAACACUACCCUCCCACUCUCCAAACCUUCCCAUUUCACUAAACCUUCCAAAACAAUAGUCCAAGACACAACACUAGGAACUUCAAUCUCUUCAAACACCUUUUUAGCGUCACCCAGAAGCCCAAACUUGACAUACACAUUCAUCAAAGCAUUACACACUUUAACAAACUUCUCAAACCCGAAUUUCACUACACACACAUGCAUUUGAGGACCAAGAUUAAGGUCCCCAUGUCUUGCACAAGCAUUGAGGGAACAAACCAUGGCGACCCCAUCAAGAGGAAGACACAAUUGACGCAUUUGGACAAAGAGUUUGAGGGAUUCGAAGGGGGGAGAGCAACGGAUGAGGGUGGUGUAGUCUACGGAGUCUUUGUGUGAGUGGGGAAUUUCGUCGAACAGUUUACGGGCGUGAGAAGGGAGAGAGCAUGAAGCGUAUAGAUGGAGGACGGCGUUACGGAGGAAGAGGUUUGGGGAAGAAAUGAGGCCGGUGACAGUUACGGCGGCGUGGAGUUGUUUGCCGGGACGGAGAGCGGUGGCGCGUGCGCAUUGUCGGAGAAGAGAGCGGAAAUGAAGAGCGAGUGAUGAUAAGGUAGCAGUUCGUAAAAUUGUUGUGUUUGACUGUGACCAUCUCAUUUAGGUGAAAAAUGAUUUGGUCUUCGUAGGUUUUGACUUUGAUAGGUGGCUUUCCAUGUCAUCCAAUUGCGUGCUGUAUCUUUUGGAGGAAGUGCUUCACAAUAUAUAGCCUUCCAAGGACGCUUCAAAAUUAUCCACAUGUUUUUGAGAACCAGAAGUUCAUAUUCUUUUUCGUUUUUACAGUUGAAAUGAUAAAUCGAUUAGUGUUAGUUUGAGUGUGGACAGAUUUAAUUUUGAAAGACGCUAUCUUUUUUAUUAGAAUGGAGAAUAAAAAUGACUUUCAACUUAUAUGUUUAUGAGUCGUUUCUAAUUAUCGAAAUUUUGAACUAUUUUCAAAUAUCAUUUUAUAAAAAAUCACUAAAAUUUAUCUCUUUUGGUUAUUAAAAUUUAUUUUUAAAUACUAAUUUCUGAAAUUAUAUAUCAAGAGAAUGUUCCUUACUUCUUUCAAAAGUACUCUUAUUGAUAUUUCAACUAUCCUAUACUAUUACUAUUUAGACCUAACUCCUAUUAUAAUAAGAGGUAUUUUAGUCAAAUAAAUUUAUUUUACUUCAAAAAUAAAUGUAACUAAAAAUUUUCUUAAAAUGUCUUUAUUACUCUUAACGACACCUUAAUAUAUUUCUAUGGAAAUUAACAUAGCGAUAUAUAAGAUAGAUCGAGAGUGAGAUAAAAUAAUAUUCAAUUAACAUGUUAUAACCCUUUUUUAUUAAGUGAAAGAAGUCAAGUAGAGGAAGUAGAGUUUAGCAAUGAAUGAACCACCAAAAAAAAAUCUAGCAAUGAAUGAGUAUGAAUCAUGUCCAAUAUUCAGAAGAAAUAGAGAACUUGAUUACUAAUAAUUUUAGAUGUAACAUUAAAAGUACACAUUUCAAGAACUUGUGAUGUAAUCCUGUCAAAAAAACAAAAUAACUUGUGAUAUAAUAAAAAAUGUAUAUACUAGAAACCAUAGUAUAUAAAUCCUUCAGUGUCUUUUAAAAAAAUGGAGGAUUCCUGCUCCAGAUGAGCAUGGUUAACUUUUAUAUUGCAAAGAAGGAACAAGUCUUAUCUAUCCAAAAUAAAAACAGCUUAAAGAAUUUUGGUUUCAUAAUUAAAAUCAAAGAACAACCGGUCAAAAGAAUACAAAUUUCAUACAUUACAAAACCCGGGCAUAAGACACAUGUCUAUAUUGUCACUUGAAAGAAGCCAACAGUAACAAGUUAGCUUGCAGCACUGCACAAUGCAACAUCUUUUUCUGCUCACUCACAAAUCGAAUUAAGAAAAAGAAAAAGGAGAAACAAAAUAAAUCAUUGUAUCUUAUGUUAUGUAUGAACCAUUACGAGAACAUGUAGGCCUUUAUCUAUUUAGAAAGUUUGAAGUAUAGGAUCAUGAUGAUAGCGACAACCAGGACGAGCACAAUGCAGCCUAUGAUCCACUUGUUCUUGUUCAUCCUUCUUGACAUGUUUGACAAAAUUUUCUUGCUCUUGCCUAUGUUAUCAUCCACUCCAUGAAGCUGCAUGCAGGCAUAUAACCAUAAGUAAAUCAAAGGGAUACUUACAAAUCUAUGAUUCAUAGAAAAAAACAGUUAACACUGUUGCUUAAAGUUUAAAAACAAUGUGAAUUAAUAUUAGUCAUGAUCCAGAAAAUUAGUUAAAGGAAAUGCAGAUGCAGAUGCAGAAAAUUGAGAGAUAUAGAUACAGAACCAACAACUGCUACUAGAUAGUUGGCAUAGUUACAUUCAAAAAUUAAAAAAAAGAAGUUCAAGAGAAAUUUCCAGCAUAACUCAGUAUAAGACAGUAUGCUUACUGAAAUGACUGUACAGGAAAUCAAGCAUGUACUAGUAGAUCCAAACAAAUAUAAAAAAGAUUACCGUGUUAUGCGCAUGCAAUAGAGAUUGUCGCUGUGAAUGCAAAUCUUGGAGAAUAGAAACACCUAGCUCUUCGGUUUCCAACAUUGUUCUCCUACUUUCCUUAACUCUUUCACCAGUCUUGUUCAACCUUUCAGUUGAUGUCAUUAAUCUUGUUCUCUGAUCAGCUGAUGCCUAAUGUAAUCACAAGAAAGGAGGUCAUCAGAUUGUUUCCUCAUCGUAUUUUCACAGCAAAAUAAAUCAUGUAUGGGAGCAUCAAAAGAGAAUGUUAGAAAAUGAAUCAUACCGUCAUAGCAUCUGCCAUGCCAGAUUCCAACAACUCAUCCCUUGCAGAAGGAUUCAAAUUACCAGAUACAAUUUUCUUAACUUCGGUUUUAAGGUUGUUUAGAUCUGAUUUAUACUCCCGCAACUUAGCAAGAAGCAUAGCCUUGAUAUUUGGCUGCAAACUUCUUGCCUCAAGGUCCAUUUUUCGAAUCUACAAAAUCAUUAAAACAAUUCUACUGAAAUCUCAGUCUGAGAAAAAAUAAAGCCAGCUUUCUAAAGCUGUGAAAAUAAGUACCAAAGCUUCCGCUUCAUCAAUGCCAGCCUUUAUUUCAGAAACUUUUUGCUUCUUUUGCUCUGCAGAUCAAACAGAAAAUAAAACAUUAUAAUUAUAUAUUAUUUGAAGAAAAAAUAUAUAAGAAUUAAGACAAUAUUUCAUGAAUAUGUUAAAAUAUAAAGGGAUUUCUAGUAAGUCACCCUUGCCAUGUAAAAUGCUAUUAGAAUUCACGUUAUGAUGAACACAUUAGAAUGCUUCCACUACCCAAUCAAUUGGCAAAAAGAACAAAAACAAGGAGGGUCAUCAACCAUGAUUGGGCAGGGGAUAAUUUCAGGGGAGUCUACAGUUUUAACUCCCAAUUAAAUCUUACAACUUGAAGAAACAAACACCAUAGCAAUUCCAAGGUCUGACACAUCAGUAAGAACCAAUACCAUAAGACAAUACCUCUCCCAAAUUUAUAAAAAAGUUUUAGGCAUAUGCUUCGGUCUAAUAAUAUAUUAGAUAAACACUUCACAUGAAUUGUGAAAUCAUGCCAAAAGAGUCUAAUCACCCAAUAUAGGCAAUUUGGUUAUGUUUGAAGUAUAUAGAAAUCAUCUAGUAAACAAUCCUAGGAUAUCAACAUGUUAACAUGUUGAAUGAAUGAGAUUGUUAAAGGGAUUAGAAAGAUCGUCAAAGAGAUAUUAGGAAAAUCAUCAAGGGGUAUUAAUUCAAAGGUAAAGAUUCUUGGUGGUGUGGAAUGACAACAUGCAAGAAAUUAAUAAGAUAUAUUAUAUAACAAGGAUCUUGUGUAAAAAUGAGGAAAAUUGGAAUAUAUACAAGGUUGCGGAAGGAGUAAUAUGAGCUACAGCUUUUAUUUCCAAAAGGCGACCUCUGUUGCUGUUGGAGUGUUGAACGAUUUUCAAUUUCAAGUAAUGGUCCUUCGUGAACCAUCUAUGAAAGACGUGUCCCGGUGUUUGACAGCGACACGGCACAAACAACAAUUAAUUCAUUUUUUCAAAUUAUUACUGAUAUCAACCUAUCAUAUCCGAUGUGGACAUGUCAGUAUCCGUUCUUCAUAGGUCCUAAGUAGAAUUUGCUUAUUCUAUACUUAUAACAAAAUUGAAUGACAUUAUUCAAUCAAAUACAAAAAAAUAAUUAUAAUUAUAAUCAGAAAUCCCGAAGCAUCAAUCACGUAACAAGACUAACUGAAAAAGGAAAGUAACAAAAACGUACCUCCAUUAAGAGCACUAGCCGCAGUGCACUUUUUUGAUAAAUUAGCAGAAAGUUCACAGUAUUGGCGUUCGUAUCCCUCGAACACGUUGCUCAUUGUUCACAAUUUUCACUCCUUC
rnacentral:lncRNA from 1 species